AGGUAUAAAGAAACCUGAGUCAUCAAAAAUGUAUCUCACAGAUUUGGCAAAUGAACUCUCACAAUUACAGGAGGGGUUUACAUUUGAGGGGAAAAGGCUCACUUUAAAAGUUUAUUCGAUGAUCUGUGACGCACCGGCAAAAUCCUUUGUGAAAGUCACAAAGGCUUUUAACGGUUACUAUGGCUGUGACAAGUGUAUUCAGAGUGGGGUGUACCUCAAUCACCGCAUGACAUACCCCCUCAUAAAUAGCCAAACACGGUCUGAUGAGGCAUUUGCCAGGCAGGAGGAUGAGGAACACCACCAUGGUCCUCAUGCCUUCACAAAUGUACAUUUUGGUUUGGUGUCCCAAGUCCCACUGGACUACAUGCACCUGGUGUGCUUGGGGGUGGUAAGGCGCCUUAUCUUUCUGUGGAUGAAAGGUCCUCUGACUGUCCGUUUACCAGGGAGAGACGUGGACAGAAUAUCCAGAAAUCUUCUAAGCUUAAGACCCCACAUUCCUUCGGAAUUUGCUACAAGGCCAAGCGCACUGAACAAAGUGGAUAGGUGGAAGGCGACGGAGUUCCGUCAGUUUCUCUUAUACAGAGGGCCGGUGGUGUUGCGUGAGGCGUUAAGUCCUGAUCUAUAUGUAAACUUCCUGCUGCUGUCGACAGCCAUGGCAUUGAUGGUCUCCCUUUUCUUUGCCAGAAAGUACAACGAAUAUGCCAACAGCCUCCUUCAUGCUUUUGUGGAACAUUUUGCCCGCCUGUAUGGAAAUGAUCAGCUAGUGUACAAUGUGCAUGGGUUGACCCAUCUUGCACAGGAUGCAAAACAUUUUGGCAAUCUGGAAUGUAUAUCAUCCUUUCCAUAUGAAAAUUAUUUGCAAAAACUCAAGGGUUUUGUACGCAAACCCUCAAAUCCCCUGGCCCAAAUAGUCAGACGCCUGUCCAAGGGAUUAAAUGGUGGUGUUACAAGUGACCAGCCCAUCAAAUUGUGCAAAGAACAUGCCCGAGGCCCUAUACAAGUACAAAACUUGAUCUGUCACCAGUAUGACGAAAUGAUAUCAGAAAGGUUCACCAUGACCACAACAUGUCGAAACAACACAUUUCUUAUGGGCAAAAAUGUGUGUCAAAUAAUUCAUAUAAUUGACUGUCACGGUGAUAUCAUAAUUGCCUACAGACAGUACGGCAUGGUUGAAACAUUUUUUACCUAUCCUUUUAAUUCGGACAUUUUAAACAUUGUGAUACCAGCUGACCUAGGCCAUGAGAUAAAAUUCUCCAAACUGUCAUCUUUCACACAAAAAUGCAUGGCUGUCCCUUUCAAUGAGGCAAUGGUGGUUAUACCAUUGUUUCAUAUGAAGGACUAGACUUUAUUUUUGAAAAUCAUAGUUCAGUUCAGUUCAGUUAUGUAUUUUGUUAAUCAUCUUAUUUUUUACACAAUUAUUUUUAAAAGACAUUUUGUGGAGUAAUUUUCCUCGACGAGGACGUUACAGAAGUUGUGCCGAGGUCAUGGGUUAAAGGUGAUGAAUGUUUUUGGCCAACAUUCAUUUCCGAGGAAAAAAACCAAAAGGCCAUAAAGAGGCAUGAAAUGCCAGGCCUUGGCUGGAAAAUCUUCAAAAUAAGAACACUCUUUGAAAAAGUAGAUGACUUCAGUAAGGCAAGGCAAAAGCUGAAGGACUACAACAGAAAUGGAACGGCAGUCCUCCAGUCAGAGGAUGAGGGCCCCAUGGCAAAAAGGAGAAGAAAAGCGACACAUUACCCAGGAUUUGAAAACGGCAGUACUGACUCUGAAACUGAGCAGACUCCAAAAAGAAGACCAGAGUCUCGGCCUCGGCCUCAACCUCUCCCUAUUAGCGCUACCCUUCCUAGUCUCCCUCCAGCCCCCCUCUCGGACAUUGCAGUGGACAUGGGUCAGGAGUCUCUGGACAACACAGGACAGGGAACCUAUACAGACAUAAGCUGGAAUGUGAGGAGGGAGUCAGACCCCUUCAAUGCGGCUCAGCUACAUGGCCUAUUGCGUUUGGAAAACCUAAAGCAGCAGGUUGCCCAACUCGCCACCACCGUGAACUUGCUCAUGGCCAAGGUCAAUAACGGCCUCCAGCCAGCAGCCUUUGAGUGGUGCAGAGCUGGACCGCUUUGAGCCCUGGCUGGCGGACCCUGCAACGAUAGGCAGAAACAUGCCCUUGUAAGCAUAUUCCCCCAAUAUGUUCUCAUUGUACUCAAGACACUUGUUUCAUCUUACACUAAAUCUAAUUAAUCUAAAGUAAUAUUUAUUGCUACAGUAGACUAAGCUCUUUAUGAUGAUGUAACUGUAAUCUAAUUCAUCGAAAGUAAUAUUUAUUGCUAGA